AGCAAGGCCAGGAGGCUGCAGGCUUUGGGCAGUCAGGGCUGACGCGGUGAUGCCCGCGCUGCAGCCGCGCUCCGGAGCCACGGCUGGGAGACCCCUGGUGGCCCUCUGUGGAAUUGCACCUGCGCUGAAGCGCGCUUUGGACCCUUGGAUUCCAACAAAGCUGAGGUAGGAGGAGACAAGCACAAAAGGCCUGGUGCUGAGUCCAAGCCUGAGCCCGGGUUGCUAACUGCGCUGACAAACCUGGCCCAGAGUCUCAACAGCUUCAUCUAACAGUUUCGGUUGCACCGUCAAAUGGUUGCUCAGGCUGGUGACCCUCCAAAUCAUGACGCGAGAGGAGCUGUGGGCACGGAGAGACAGAAGCUGUCCUCAGCCUUGGGUAGGAAGAGUGAAAACCAAACGUGAACACAAAGGGUGUGGAAAGGGUGCAGUAAAGGGUGAGAAAAGGAGAGGCACAGAGACUCCCAAGGCUUCAGCUUCCCAGCGUGCACGUCAACUCCUGCCAGCCAGUGGCAAGUUGGUGCUGUGAAUCAGGCGGGAUGGACUGCAGCCUCUUCAUACGAGGGAAUCUCUGCUUCGCUCGCUUUUAAAUGUACGUUUGAUGUUCUAGGGUUUCUUGCUGUCUGAAUGUAGUAUACAAUACAGUCUAUAUCCUUGAGGUAGUCCUGUCUCUUCUCCCCUCCCAGUCUGUCCUCCCUCCCUCCUCCUUCCCCUCCCCAUUUUUCCCAUCCACCCCAGCUCAUCAGGUGGCAUCAGGACUGAGCAUGUCCUCUUCCCCUGUGGCCUGGCAAGGCAGUCCUGUCAGGAGGAAGUGAUAAAAAAGCUGCCAAGUGAGUCCUUGUCUGAUGCAGUCCCCACUUCCCUUAUUAGAGGACCCACAUGAGGCCUGAGUUGCCCACCUGUUACAUCUUUGUAUUUCCAGUUCCUGGCUAUUACAAAUAAAGCUGCUAUAAACAUA